AAAGCACGACAAGGUUAAUCCGAGUGAUUUCUGCUAAAGGAAUCUUUUACCAGUUCUAAAAAUACUGGCGAAUAAGGGGUGGGCAAGUUCUGGUGUCAGCCGCCGCGGUAAAACCAGCACCUCAAGUGGUCAGGAGGAUUAUUGGGCCUAAAGCAUCCGUAGCCGGCUCUGUAAGUUUUCGGUUAAAUCUAUAUGCUUAACAUAUAGGCUGCCGAAAAUACUGCACAGCUAGGGAAUGGGAGAGGUAGACGGUACUCGGUAGGAAGGGGUAAAAUCCUUUGAUCUAUCGAUGACCACCUGUGGCGAAGGCGGUCUACCAGAACAUGUUCGACGGUGAGGGAUGAAAGCUGGGGGAGCAAACCGGAUUAGAUACCCGGGUAGUCCCAGCUGUAAACGAUGCAGACUCGAUAAUGCACUGGCACAUAGCCAGUGCAGUGUCGCAGGGAAGCCGUUAAGUCUGCCGCCUGGGAAGUACGUACGCAAGUAUGAAACUUAAAGGAAUUGGCGGGGGAGCACCACAAGGGGUGAAGCCUGCGGUUCAAUUGGAGUCAACGCCAGAAAUCUUACCCGGAGAGACAGCAGAAUGAAGGUCAGGCUGAAGACCUAC
rnacentral:rRNA from 1 species